rnacentral:lncRNA from 1 species
AUUGCAUAGGAAGAGUGACCAUUUUUCAGAGUGGGGAAGGAGGGUACGCUAAUAGGACAAGCCAGGUCUGCUGAACUUCCCCUCUUCUGCACAAUUAUUCAUGGUGACAGAGGAGCCUUGUCCUCUCUUCCACCUUUGGCUGCCUCAGAACAGGCAACCCCAGUGGGAGGAGAGGAAAGGAAGGCCUACUAAUCUGAGAAAAGAGGGUGCCUCUUAGCACAUCGCAGAAAAGUAUAAAUGGCUGCCUGCUGGAGCGGAGGCCACAGAAGCAUCUCAAAAGCACAACUCUAUUUAGCAGGGGUGAGUCUGGAGAGCCACAUUGUCUAGUGAGCAACCUUCUGGGGGCCAUAUGCCAUGGGUAGGCAUACUAAAGCCCAGGGGCCGGAUCCGGCCCAGUCGCCUUCUAAAUCCGGGCAGCGGACGGUCCGGGAAUCAGUGUGUUUUUACACGAGUAGAAUGUAUCCUUUUAUUUAAAAUGCAUCUCUGGGUUAUUUGUGGGGCAUAGGAAUUCGUUCAUCCCCCCCCCCCCCAAAUUUAGUCCGGCCUCCCACAAGGUCUGACCGGCAUCCUGCUGAAAAAGUUUGCCGACCCCUGCCAUAUGCCAAUAGUGGGUGGGGCUACAGGCAAAACUGGGGAGGGUAAAGGACGUGGCUCUUACUUUUGUACAGUAGGCUGGAUUCCAGACCCCCCCCCCCACCAGUGAUUUCUACACACACAUAUCUCUCCAUACUACAUCCAGGCCAGCAAGAUGCUUUAUUGCAGAUCAAAGGCACAUUUCAGCCAGGCAAAACCCCUUGGGAAAGACACAAAGGCUGGCUUAUGCAGAGUGUGGACAAGAGGUAGGCCUGGCGGCAUAAGUGCUGGGUCCCAGGGGCCCUGGGUGCCAUGGCUCCCAGAAAAUGCUGAAUGAGGGUGCAGGGCACCCAUAAAGUGCAGUGAGACAACAUCAUCACACCCACCCACCCCCCGGAGUGCACAACACUAUGUCACUGCGCCCUGCUAUGUGCGCAAGUGAUGUCAUCUCGCUGGGGGCUUGAUGACGUAGUAGUGCGCACACCACGAAGGGUGUAAUGACAUAGUAUGCGCACCUCGCAGCACGCAUGUGCACCCUGGAGACAGUGUGCAGCCCCAGGCACCUGCAGUUGUGGGGUGCAAGCAAAGCUGGCGCCACUGCCCAGGGGCUAGAUAGAGGCGCCUGCUUGAAGCACAAGGUUUCCCCCACAUUAUUCUCCACGGGAUAAUGAAUAAAAGAGCUGUAAGGUUAUUGUAGCCCCUUCCAGCCUCCCUUUCCACUGAAGUAAAGGCAAGUCUUACUUUCCUUAAUCAACGAAGGAGCUCCAUGGUGUCCGACAAGGAGUGGUUUUUCGGACUGCUUCAUGUAUAAAAAAAAAAAUUCUUCAUGAAGACAGCUGCUAGGAAUGAAAAGUAGUAUAUAACCGCAUUUGUUGUCAGGUAUGAAAAUCAUACAAGUAUCUCUUUGGCUAGGAUUAUGCUGCCUCAGCUUUUGACCUCUGCAAUUGCAGCAAAAGAGAUUCAGGUAGGUAGGCGUGUUGGUCUGACGCAGUCGAAAUAUAUUAAAAAAUAAAAAAAAUUGUCCAGUAGCACCUCAGAGACCGACUAAGUUUGUUCUUGGUAUAAGCUUUUGUGUGCAUGCGCACGAAAGCUUAUACCAAGAACAAACUUAGUCGGUCUCUAAGGUGCUAGUGGACAUUUUUUAAAAAAAAAUUAUAUAUAGCAAAAGAGGUAUUCAUGGCAGCAUCACAUAUGUUGCUGCAUACAAGCAGGUGCAUUUUUCUUUAAAUUAAGGUUAGUUCUGUGUAGGGAAAGGGCCAUGUGAGACAUACUUUUUAAAUGUAAAGUUUUAGUUUUUUAAUACAGAGAAAUAACUCCCAUCAAGAUCCCUCACCCACUCACAACUUCCUAAAACGACCCCUUCCCCACACUCAACAUUACCUGUUUAUCAGCAGCCAGCAAAAUGAUGCUUUGUUAACAAAAACCCCGCUCAUAUUUUCUUUCUCUGCUUUCAAAAUAGGAGCCUAAUUCAUGAUUUGUGUAGGCUACCGCUUUCCGAUUUGUAACAAAAGGUCUAGACUCACCAUUAGUUUCUCAAGUACAAAUACAGGGUUGUGGUGGUGUCAUGCCGUGGUUUUUUGUGUUCUUUGCUUUUGUGUGUUCUCUGGACUCUCUGUUUUGUGUGUUCUCUGGACAGUGGCUAAUCUUAACUAUGGAUAACAAAAACAAGCCCGCUUCAUAAACUAUGGUUUGAAAAAGAGCUUGAUUCCAAGAAUACCUAGUUAAGAUUAACCUUAGUUUGUCUGGGUUUAGAUGGAAUGAAAAGCUGUGGUUAAUCUAAAAUGGGAGUGAAACCUCUUUGCAGCUACACUAGAAGAAAAAGGGGAGAGUACAAGCUCUCAUAAUGUCAAACUAUGGCAUAGUGCUCUAUCUGAAACGGCCAAACGUGGGUAACUUGAGUAUUUUGGAAAAGUUGUCCAUAUGCAAUUACUAUCAACAGUACUCUGUGAUCAACAAUAAUCAUAAGAGUACAUUUUAAUUGAAGAGCCUAUUGAGCAAAGACUGGUGUUGCUAAACAAUUAUUCAGGAAUAUGAAUCUGAGUCCUUUGGACUACAGUAUCUCCAAAUAGCCAGUAUUUAUUAUGUCAGUAUUUAUCAAUAUUUUAAAAGAAGGGGUUUGAAAGUUCUCCAACUUUAUACUAUAAACUGCCCUGUGAUCCUCAGAUGAAGGGUGUAUAUAAAUUUAAUUUAAAUUAAUAAAAAUAACUCGUAUUAAUUGCCCUUCUAAGGUCCCUACUAAGUAUUUCUAAUGUGAACUCACCCAUGACUUUAAAGUUUUUUAUACAGAAGGUAUUUUGUCCCUUAGAAGAGUCCACAGAUACAACCAAGAUAUUUUUAUUCAAAAUGGAUUCCCUAAGGAUUAAUCAUCAUCUUAUCAUCACAGAUCUUAAGUAGAAAAAUAAUAGUAGUAGUUAUUUCACAGUAGAGGCUACACCCUCGGAAAAGUUCAGCCCCAGUGCUAGAAACAUGUCUCACAAUUGUAGAUAAUUUUCAUUAUCUUAUUUUUAUAUGAAGUUUCCUGAAGGAAAAUUAAAUUAGCCUUUAGUUUUCCCAUAGCUUAGCCAUUGUUCCCCCCCCUCAAAUUAUGGUGGUUUUUUAUCACUGUUAUUAUCUUUCUAAAUAUCUGUAUAUAUAAAAACAAGAGACAAGUUUCCUUGUAAACAUAUUCAACUAUAUAUUAUUCCUUUACAAUAGAAAAUGAGGCUUGAAGCUGCUUUAGCUUUACAUAUAUAUAAAGAUGCUUAUCUUCUGUCAUUUGAUUGUUUUAAAAGAAAAAACAGGUUUUGUGAAAUUAUUUUAAAUACACUAAGCUAAUUGGAAUGUCGCCGUAAUUAAAAGGCAUUCACCCAAUCAAAAAUUAUGCUCUGUAGAAAAAUGUAGGCUAUCAAUUCAAAAGCUACACAAUUGUUGAAUUAAAAAUAUCAACAUUUACAAUGUAUCAUACACAGAGUGGAAAAUUAAUGAGCAAUAUAAAAUUACAUGUGUUAAACCAAUCAGUAGUAUACUAAUUAUUAUUAUUUUUUAAAAAAUGAGUAAAUUAGAAAAAAAAAACAUUAGAAGAAUACUGGCAAUUCACAUGCGAGCAAAAAUGGAAAGCAAUAUUUGAAUCUAAAUAUACCCUUUUGACACUUUUGAGGAAAAAAUGCUGAUAUUCUUGCUUCUGCAGUAAUCAUAUCCAUUCUUUGAGGAACAGCUGUCUACAGAGUUAUGGGGUGCAGAUUAUUAUAGCCAGUCCUUUUUUUCUGGGGGGACGCAUACCCCUAAACACUUUGUGAAUCUCAGUUGGGCUUCACUGAGGGGCAGUAUUUCAGUAUGAGUUGGAAAAUGAGAGUAGCCCUAAACAUUUAUUUUUUUAGAAAGAAAGCACUGAUUAUAGCACCUUGAAGCUGCUUCUGCUACCAGGGAAGGUCUGAGGACUUAAAAUGUUGCCUGCAAUGUUUCCCCUCCUUUCUUGGGUCCUCCAUGACUCUCCCCCUGGUCUGAGCUCCAGGGGUAAAUAGCUGUUCCGAGAGCGGGGUGUGUGUGUGUGUGUGUGUGUGUGUGUGUGUGUGUGUGCAGGUUGCAAGGGAGGUGAUUUUCAGCAGGAAAAUGGCACAGGAGAAAUGUUUUUUAAUUCAUCCGGAUGCCGCAUGGUCCUAGUCCUCAUCAGGUGCACCCACACAUCGUUCAUCUAAAUAGGAGAGAACCUCCGUCGCAGGAGCCAAAUAUAUGGCUUAGGUUACACUACUUUGGCCCCCGAGACGAUGCCUACAUGCAAACAUACGUGACCAAACCCUUGUGGCCUUCAGCACUCCCACCCCCCCAUUCAAGGAAAACCACAUUAGGAGGGUAUGCUUAACCCUUUCCCACCUGCUGCUUCUCCAUUUCACAUUGCCCUCUCCCAAAGCAGCUUUAUCAGUGCUGCGGGGAAAGGGGAGCUGUGGCUGUUCAGUUACACACAUUUGCGUGCAAUACUUAGUGGGCUAGCAAGAGCUGUGCUAGAACUGAGAGCGGACAGCUCAGCCUUAAUGCCUGUAUUUAUCCGUAGUUACCUACAGAAGCCUCUUCCUUGUCUCUCCUCCGUUCCCUUUGUCUCCCCCGUGGCAAAAGUUACCGUAUUUUUUGCUCUGUAAGACUCACUUUUUCCCUCCUAAAAAGUAAGGGGAAAUGUGUGUGCGUCAUAUGGAGCGAAUGCAGGCUGUGCAGCUAUCCCAGAAGCCAGAACAGCAAGAGGGAUUGCUGCUUUCACUGCGCAGCGAUCCCUCUUGCUGUUCUGGCUUCUGAGAUUCAGAAUAUUUUUUUUCUUGUUUUCCUCCUCCAAAAACUAGGUGCGUCUUGUGGUCUGGUGCGUCUUAUAGAGAGAAAAAUACGGUAGAUUGUAAGCUUGUGGGAGCAGGGAAUCUUCCCUUUUGCUUGUUUGUUAGUCAAGAUUAGGUUCUGUGGGGCACAAUGCUGGUGUGAAAUAAAGCAGGCACAUUGCAAGCUGCUUAAAGGACUCAGGGGCACAGGCCCAUGGCACCAAUCUGCCUACACCUGGGCAAAUUAAAAUCGUGGGUGACUGGGGUAUUCUUGGCACUCAUUUGACAGUGUGUCCCAGUCUUCCUGUAUAUAAUGCUUUAAAAAAUAUUAUUAAAAGGAGGGUGGGGGAACAUGGCGAACAGGGCUGUAGGUGAAAGGAAACCGCUCUGUGCGUAAAGCAAAGUGUGACAUUGCCUUCACAAUACGGAAAAGAUGUUUCAUAUAGAGCCAGAAUGCACUGAUGAAUGGUGAGGUCUGUCCCGAAAUAAGAGAUUUGAGAGCCUCUCUCUGUGUUUUCGGGGGGGGGGGGAGAGAAAGGGAUGCCCCAACCGCCGCUAAACCACGCAGCUAUUCACAAAUGUUCUUGUUUAAAAAUAGGAAGUACAGUGACUGUCUCCAGCUUGUCUGUUCGCUGUUUUUAUGUCCUCUAACUCCCAGUUUUCUUUACUUCUUUCCUUUAACGGUUAUUUUUAAAAAUGGGAAGCACAUAGCCAAGAAGGAUGUUUAAAAAUAAAAAUGUAAAGGCUCCUAAAAUGACAGGAGGGCAGGUUAGAGAGUGGGAGGGAGCGCUGCUGCUUUUUGUACAGAAAAUAAUCGUCCUCACCAUCUCACAAUCGAGAUGCGCAGCAGGGAGGCAGAUAGCCACCUAGGAUGUUAACUGUACAGUUUUUUAUUUUUUAUCUAAAGGAAAUAUGCGGCGACAUUGAGUUGUAUAAUGACGGCAACAUGGCUAUGAACAGCAGUCACGGGAGCACCAGAUCAAAGUGUUCAUAUCCCAAAACGCACAGCCUAUCUAGUAAAAAAGUGACACCCCCAUAAUAGAAGCAGGAAGAGAAGUAUCAAACUGGCCAACAGGCAUAGCUGUCAACUUUUCCCUUUUCUUGCGAGGAAUCCUAUUCGGAAUAAGGGAAUUUCCCUUUAAAAAAGGGAACAGUGGACAGCUAUGCCAACAUGGCACUUUUACUGGAAACAUGCUGGCCGAUGCUUUAAAAAGGAACUUCUUUAUUUAUUCCCCACCCCACCCUUAAACUAAUAUAGGAAGAAUCCAGUAAUUUUAACAUAAAGAGUGAAGUCUUCAACAAGUAAGACCACCGAGUAGCAAUAAUAUGGUAAGAAAAAGUGGAAGGAAAUUGGAGGGGGGGCCUCUCUGGCUCCCACAAUUGUGGUCAGAUUAUUAGUUGACAGGACUGACCUAUUUCAUUGCCCCAGGUGAAAGACCAGGUUGUGCCUCCUCACUCAUAUUCCACAUAUGGCUCCACAGAAGCCAAUUGGACUGGGAGCUGAAAUGGACUUGGAUGCUGGCAAGACAACACCUCCUACAGGUAAACAGGUUAUCUUAGGAGGUACAACACAGCUCUGUUCUCCAGCAUCUCCCUGCGGUGUCUGCCACCUGAAGCAACUGCCUAAUGGUAGGGCUGGCCCUGUUUUCGGUGAAUGUUAUAUGAGUGGAACAAAGAGCUAUCCACCCACAAUGCAAGUAUUGUUAAUGAGUCUCCAGUAGCACGCAUCAGGGUCAGUCUACAAUGUAUUGUUGCCAAAGAUGGAGCGGCAAAUGGCAGUAUCUCAUUCCCCAGUAAAGGUGCAUAAUACCCAAGAGGUUGCUCAAGUUUCACUCACUUUCUCUUUCUGUCUCUCUUUCGUCCCAGUGUACUGUAUACAGCAGGGGUCAGCAAACUUUUUCAGCAGGGGGCCGGUCCACUGUCCCUCAGACCUUGUGGGGGGGGGCCGACUAUAUUUUUUUUGGGGAAAGAAUGAAUUCCUAUGCCCCACAAAUAACCCAGAGAUGCAUUUUAAAUAAAAGCACACAUUCUACUCAGGUAAAAACAUCAGGCAGGGCCCACAAAUAACCCAGAGAUGCUUUUUAAAUAAAAGGACACAUUCUACUCAUGUAAAAACAUGCUGAUUCCUGGACCAUCCGCAGGCCGGAUUUAGAAGGCAAUUGGGCCACAUCCGGUCCCCGGGCCUUAGUUUGCCUACCCAUGGUAUAUAGUGUUAAGUUUUAAUUAAGUUGUAAGUUUGUUAAGUCUGCUGCAACUGGAUUUCUUAUGGACGGUGCCAGUCUUGGAUGUAUUGGAUUUGUGACCAUUAUGCUCAUUUGCCUUCAGUAGCAGUAAAGCUCUGCUGGAUGAAAUAUUGCCUCCGGUCUACUUUUGAGAAUCCUGCAACGUGUUUAAGUUUUUACUCUGCUAACUAUACAUUGGAAUCUACUCUGGAUCAAUAUUGAGUAGACUUUCAAUGACAGUUUUGGUACGCAGGGGAGAAAACCCCACAGGUGCCUUUCUCUGGCAGUAAUAAUAAUAACAGAAAUAAUAUAUAUAUAUAUUGCCCUUUCACGACACCCAAGAUCAGCUGCACGAGACAAAGUUACGACUGGGUGGCAGCGAGUAGCAGUCACUGGUGAGGUGGGAGCUAAGAGCAGCCUGUAGUCGAGACGGAAGAAGCCAGAGCCAGGAGACUGAGUCAAGGAGCAAGCCGCAAGUUAGGGCCAAAGAAUGCCAGAAUGCACUGACGCUCAGGAAGACUUUGUUACUUAAGCAAGGCUCAGCUGGAACAGGAAACUCUGUUAUGUAUUGAAGUUCUCACCCUGGCCACCAGGGGUAUCAUGUAUAUAGUUUUCACUCAGGUCCACGUCAGUUAAUUUAGGCAAGAAACCCUGGGUUCUUCUUGUUACAAUGUUGACAGCUGGCUGCCUAUAAAAGCAGGCCGGCUGAGCUGUUUGCUGUUCAGUUCAGUUCCAGCUUACUUAUAAAGAACUACAGUGGUACCUUGGGUUAAGAACUUAAUUUGUUCUGGAGGUCUGUUCUUAACCUGAAACUGUUCUUAACCUGAGGCACCACUUUAGCUAAUGGGGCCUCCUGCUGCCGCUGUGCCGCCACCACACAAUUUAUGUUCUCAUCCUGAAGCAAAGUUCUUAACCCAAGGUACUAUUUCUGGGUUAGCAGAGUCUGUAACCUGAAGCGUCUGUAACCCGAGGUACCACUGUACUUGGAGAAAUCUCUGUGUCGUCUGCUAUGUCCACCCACUAUUUAAUAAACCCUUUCUGCUCUUUUCUACAUGGAAGGAUCCAAAGAUCUCACUCUGUGUGGGCAAAGUUAGUCCAGGGCCUGAAGAUGUUUUACUGUGAAGCAGCCACCCAUAAGUUGCAUGCCCCACCUCACGAGGAGCUCCACACGGAUCUGUCAGCUUCUGGCAGAGCUAGCCUUGCUGCCCUUGUAGCAGUUGCUCAGUAGGGUGAAGUUUCCCCUUUAGGGCAUGGGAUACUAGGGAAACUCUAUAGUAUGAGGCAAUGCAAAGAAAAUUAAAAACCUUCAUGCAGAAGGUGCAGUUUCUUCAGGGAAUAUUAUUGGUACCACUCAAUGAGAAGCUGGGAAGGAUGGUAUUUAGUUUGAGUGCAAUAUGCGAUGCCGUACAUCCCUGAGGGUGCAGACGAAGUGUGAGAGGGUGAAUAUUAAUUUUAAUUAUAUUUACUUCCCUGAAGAGCCUGAACACCCGUGGCUUCCAUCUAUCAAGGUCCAUUUAUAUUCGUGAAACAACUGAGUCAGCAUGUGAAUCAUGGGAGUUGGGGGAGUAGGGGGGGCUCUUUAAUGAAAGCCACCCCAAUUGCUCUGUUCUAGCCAAACCCAGUAAACAGUGGUAAGUAAAGGGGCCAUUAUAAAGUUAAGGGGAAUCAGAAUCCCUUUGGGGCCCCCCCGUAGGCAUUAUAGCGAAUCAAGGUUCAUUUUGACCAAGUGGAAGUAGUCCUUAGGAACUUUAAUAUCAAAGUAAUUCUAAAAAUGAAUAUCCCAGAAGAAAACUGGGAUAGAACAAAUAAUAAUAAUGCUUAAUAAUAAUUUAUUUGUAGAUGCCUAGAUAUGAUCACAUGACAGGUGGCAUACACAUAUUUUAAAAUAAAUGAAUAACAUUGUUGGUGUUUCUAUUCAAUUAACUGUUCCCACGAGCAGAAGCCCAUGCAAGGCUAACCUUAUUGGCAUCGCACCAUCUCUUGAAGACGUUCCUGUUUACACAAGGAUUCCCCUGAUCUCUUGACUUGAACCUACUGUUUUAAAAUGCUUUAAUCUGCUAUUUUAAAUCUUUAAAUUGUUUUUUUAAUGGCUAGUUUUAUGGUACAUUUUAUUUGUGAAUGUUAAAUUUAAUGUUUUGAUGAAAUUGGUUUAUUGUGUACACAGAAACCAUCUUGGCAAUUAAGUGGUAUAUAAAUAAAUAUACAUACAUACAUGCAUACAUAAUUUUAUUUGUAUGCUGCCUUUCCACAGUUCAAAACUUGCUCAAGGCUGCUUACAACGUGCAAAAAAGCAUAACUGCAAGUUACAAAAGUAGUCGUAAGCAAUAAAUAAAACAUCAGAGAAUACACAGGCAAAUGGAACGAUUUCUGCAUAAAUCACAAGAUCUAAAAUAUACAAAAGGCCAACAGCAACAUCCCCCACCCCCGACAAAACCCCCCAAAUAAUACCCCAGCCCAAGUGUCUGUUCAACAGCCUCAGCUUUUGUAGCUGGAGUCAGUCUGGGCCCCACACUCCCAAGCCAGGUGGAAAAGGCUGCAAGGCAGGGAACAGGUCUUCCAGGGCUCACAGCCAAUAUAUCCAUUAAUAACAUUAUUAAAUAACAACAAUAACAACAACAGAAGCAGCAAUAAUAAUGCACCAUUUUUAGUUGGUAUUAACCUUAAAAGUAUUUGGGAGUUUCCUUUUCACAGAACAUCUUUCUUCUUUAUUUGGCAGUUCGGUUCAUUUUUGAGGUUGAUUAGUCAAGAUUUCUCAGUUCAUUAUUCAUGACUCUGCAGUUUGUAAUGUGUGACUUAGCAAUGUGUUAUUUUGAAACUUCCACACAGCUAUGCCUGCUAUAAAGGCUGACAGCUUUUCAAUUUAGAUGUCAGAGUAACAGGUUAAAACGGCAAAGUCACAGAUUACAAAGUGCAAAGCUAUAAAAGAACAAAGAGAAAUAUAACAAAACCCCUUUGUGUUAUUCUAAUGGGGUCUUCGCAAACGUGGCGAGAACAACUUCACAUUCACGUAUUGCAGCUUCGUGGGAAGCAGACUUAUAUUGCCCUUCCUGUUCUAAUUGAUGUAAACAAUCGUUGUGUAUUAACAAAGAUCAAAUAGACCAAAGAAAAGAAAAAAAAAACCUUAGCCAUAAACCAAGCUAAAUGAACAAAUCAGAAGGAAAGUAGUUACAAAUAUCACGUACAGCAAACUUGCAUUUUAUGUGCAUUGACUGUAUGUGACAUACCCACCAACAUUUCUCUGGUGAAAAUAGGGAUGUAAAUAAUAAUAAUAAUAAUAAUAAUAAUAAUAAUAAUAAUAAUACCCCGCCCAUCUGACUCUGGGCACCUUUCAACAAAUAGAAAAACAUAAUAAAACAUUAAACAUUUAAAAGCUUCCCUAUACAGGACUGCCUUCAGGUCUCUUCUAAAGGUUGUCUAGUUACUUAUCUUCUUGGCUCAGGGGUCACAGAACUCCAUAUCCCCCAUAUGAAAAUCGGGACACCCUAAGGAAAAGCGGGACAUUCCGGGAUCAAAUCAGAAACUGGGACGGCUUUUGUAAAUCUGGGACUGCCCCUGGAAAAUAGGGACACUUGGAGAGUCUGAUGUUGUGAUUUCAGCCACAGCGGCUGAAGGCAGGCUAGCGAGGGCAAGGAUUAGAGGUGGGUGCAAGGUGGAAACCCCAAGUAAAUCUGGCACAAAAAAGAGCUUACGCUCUCAGCCUUUUUCCCUGGACAAAUCCCACGUGGAGCACCUUGAGUGCAGGGCACCUUUAGCCAGUGGCAUAGUGGAUCUGGGAAUGGUGUGGAUGCUCUUAUGAGAUCCCACGGGAAAUCCGACUUCCCGCAAGAUCUCACAAGAACCACCCCACCAUUCCCAGAGCCAUUGCACUCUGCACAGACACUGAAGUAGGACUGGUCUAGAAAGAAAGGCCAAGAUAUUUAAAGCUAUUUUCAUGCCAGGUCAACUGAUUCUCCCCAUUACCGGCUGCCUUAUAGAUGGCAGGCUAGCUAUCCGCAAGGUGGCUCCAAAGGUAAUUUUGGUUCUGUGCAAUUUCCAUGUAUACAUGUAACCCUUGGAACCGAAAUUUCGUUGUAUGAUGCAAGUUGCUUGCAACUUAAUAAACGAAGGUAAUUUCCAGAUGGCUUGUUUGAAUAUAGUCCCAUUUCAGACCCAUCAAUAUAAACCAAAUAUUUAUUAUGGCCAACCAGCCAUUAAAAAAAGUAGUAUUAAAAAACAAAUAGAAACCUACAGCCUCAGGAGAACAAAGCUGACAAGUUAGUAGCUAACAAUCGCAGCAGGUCUAAGUGGUUUUGCAACAUUCAGAUAUAAUACUACCUGUUUGGUAGUUGCUUUGUUAGACCCUUGAAGGAAGAUACUCCAAAGUGUGUUCUGUAUUUCCCCCUUUGUUCAUGAAGAAUGGAUUCAAAUAAUGCUUAAGGAGACCUUUAUUCAUAAAAUUCAUUCACAUCCAGGGCUGUCUUAAACAUAUGCAGCACCGGGGUGCAGUCCCAGGCGCGCAGGAGGGAGGAGCAAGCGUCAGCAUCUCGCUGGCUCGGUCGCCCCCGAACUCACGGCGCAGAGCCAACGGGCAGGUUCUUCCCUGGACUCAACUCUCAGGCCCCGGACUCUUGGCCUGGUGCCCCUGAGAGUCCGGCGCCAAGGUGCCCUGCACCCCUAGUGCCUAUGGGUAAGACGGCUCUGUUCACAUCCUUAGCAUAUUUCCUUUCUCCUCCUUCUCAGCUGCUGGGUCCUGCUCAGGACAAACUCCCUAAACAUCAACUCACGAUCAAGAGAAUACAAAAGGGUCUCUGAUUAUAUCGCCCUCCAAAAUGUCUGGGAGCAAAGCGUUCCAGAAAAGUAAAUCCUAAUGUCCUGCCAGACAAAUAUAUCCCAAAGUGGCUGGAACGCCAGGGAGGACACUUGUGAUAGUGCAUAACCCCCCGCCAACAUCCCUCUGAUGAAAAAAGGGUCAUUUCUCACUCCCACACAACUGACCCUCCUCGACCCCCAUUUCUUGCCUCCACCCCAAGCAUUUCCUAUCAGAAGAAGGGUGAUUGCCACUAAACACUACACACCAAUGGGACACAACACAUGUGACCUCCACUGUCCUGAGAGAACCCCUUAAUUCUGAUUUACAAAAAGAAAAACACACACCCAUAAAUUUUAUAAAGGGACAAGACACACAGUUAAAUAAAUAAAUAAAUAAAAGACUCCUUGCACUCCCCUCUGCUCCUCCUUUCAUCCUGCCCAGGGCAGCCCUGCCUUCUGACUGCCCCUUGGUGGUGGCAACCUCUUUUCCCUCAUCGCCUGCUCUCCAGCAAGCGCUAUGAGCUGCCCAAGGGAGGAGGCCUGCAGCAGCGGCCAUGGAGAGACUACAGAGAGGCAAUAGGAUGGUCCUUCACUGCUGCUGCCUGGGACAAGCGCCGGCUCAUCAUUGUCCCUGAGCUCGGCAGCGGCAGCACUGGCAGGGGAAAUGGGGACGUUCCAGUAUCAAAUCAGAAGUCAAUGGGAGGGGGAGGGUUCAUAAUUCCGGAAUUAUCACUGGAAAAUAGGGACACAUGGAGGGUAUGAUAGCAUAGAGCCUACUUGGGUCUCUUGUCUGGCAGAGCCACCCUCCACUAGUGAAGCUGCUCAAUUGUAUUAAGCAAGGGCUGAGCCUCACUCAAAGGUGCCGGCUCCUGUUGGCAGAGGCACAAUGGCUCCCAAUCUUUUUUUUUUUAAGGGGGCCAGGCCCCCUCAAUUCUGGAGAAGCUGGCGCCUCUGGCCUCACUCAAUAUCCACUGUGGUGUAGUGGUUAAGAGCAGUAGACUCAUAAUCUGGUGAACCGGGUUCACUUCCCCUGCUCCUCCACUUGCAGCUGCUGGGUGACCUUGGGCCAGUAACACUUCUCUGAAGUCUCUCAGCCCCACUCACCUCACAGAGUGUUUGUUGUGGGGGAGGAAGGGAAAGGAGAAUGUUAGCCCCUUUGAGACUCCUUCGGGUAGUGAUAAAGCGGGAUAUCAAAUCCAAACUCUUCUUCUUCUUCAAUAUCUUUUUUUCUGAUGGAAGACCCAUAAGGCCUUUUUGUAGAAAUGGGGAAUCCAUGGCGACUCCCAGUUGUACAUCGUAUUACCAAUGUGAAGUAUGAUAAUCAGAGCUGCAUCUCCCACUAAGUUCAUUAGCCUGCAUUCCAGCCCGAGACGGUUUUCUCCAGGGGACACAUGUAUGCGCACCUUUGUCUUCAGUGGCUUGAGAGACAAAGAGCAACUCACACACCCAAUAUGGAGAUUUGCAACUGAAUGUCAUGUGAUCUAGGUUAGAUACAACGUGAGAGAUAGCAGAGACACAUGCACAGUUAAUUAUCAACCCAUCAGGUACUCAGAGAGCUCUUCUUAGUGUCCAUGCAAUUUCCCAAACCCCUUUAGCAAUACAGUCGUACCUUGGUUGUUGAACGGCAUCUAUUCUAGAAGUCCGUUUGACUUCCGAAAAUGUUCGACAACCAAGACACGGCUUUCGAUAGACUGCAGGAGCUUCCUGCACAUAAUUGGAAGCCACAUAAGCAGUGUCAGACGUUCAGCUUCCAAAGAACGUUCGCAAACCGGAACACUCACUUCCGGGUUUGCGGCGUUUGGGAGCCAAAACGUUCGACUCCCAAGGUCUGACUGUACAAAUAUAUCUCAUAUACAGUCAUUACACGAUUGUAUUUAAUUGAGGGAUGGAGUUGGGUACCAUCUGCAUAUUGGUGACAGUCAAGUCUACAUCUUUGAUUAAUCUCUCCCAGUCUUUUCCUAUAGAUACCGUAUUUUUCAGUGUAUAAGACGACCCCUAUUUUUUGGGACUCCAAAUUAAGGAAAUGGGGGGAGAUUGCCCAAAGUUGUUAAGCUUUUUUUGGGGGGGAUGUGCAGAGUUGUUGAGCUAACCGCCACUGCCAAUAGCACGCAUUGACAAAGCCACCAAUCAUCUGCCUCCAAUCGCCUGUCCCCCCUCUGCACUAUCCGUGUAUAAGAUGACCCCCAAUUUUUAACAUUUUUAAAUAAUAAAAACCCCUCGUCUUAUACACAGAAAAAUACGGUAUUAAAUAGCAGGGGAUAAAACCUGCAGUUCCCUGAGGAACUGCAUAGCCUAACUGCAAGGAGGUAACUCCGCACCACCUUCUAAAAUUGGCCGUCUUUGCAGGAGCCGAACCACUGCAACACUGUGGCUCCAGAACUCAACCCAGAGAGACUAUCCAGAAGGAUACCAUGUGCUGAGAAGUGCAAGAGAACCAAAAGAAGCACACUCUCCGUGACUCGCUCUUGGAAGAGGUCAUCCAUCAGAGCAACAAAGGAACUUUCCAUUCCAAAACCAGACCCAAAGCCCCACAUAAAUGGUGGUUAGCUGGAUUUAAUAAUAAAUAAUCUCUUGAAUGUA